UGGUCGUUGGUUGUCUCCACCUAGCGUUAAGAAUUGUAAACUCUUCUUUGGAUUAAGAAAGGAAACAAACAGAAUGCGAAUCACAAUAACAACGUCAGGAAAGUGUUCAGUGAUGAAACUCAUUAACUCAAAUCUUGCAGCAAAAGAAAUUCGUUUUUCAGUGAGAAAAGGUUUUUACCCCUGCUGCAACAGAAUGUGGAGCAAUUUGUGACACAUGGUGUUAGGAAUACCACAAUAUCUUCAAUAAUUUUCUCGCUGUUGAAGAUUUUUGGGAGUGUGAGCUCAACCAACUUGUAUACUGUGUACAUCCGUUCCCCAAAUUCUUUCGAAUGGUAUUUUUAUUAUCACCCUGGCAUUAAUUAAUCGUAUUCACUGCUUGGACUUGUGGAUCUUGAAACUCAAAGUGCCGCAGACCUUCUCUGCAUUCCACACAUAUUUCCUUUCUUCGAUGACCAUUAGAAGAAAACCGGAUGUGACAGGUGUAGAGAACUUGAUGUCAUCACAAUUUCACUGAUAAGCUAAAUGGAGCAGUAGUAAUUCAUUUGCUAUAAAUUGUAAUUUUAUUUUCAUGACUACCUGCAGCUUUUUUUCAAUUCCUCUAAUACAGCGAAAUAUUUUUCGUCAAAGUUAGCAAAAAUGUGACGAGCUCUUACUUUGGGGUAUGGCAAGGAAGUCUCACGGACUAAUGUCCCUAUCCCUCUGUGGUGUUUUUCCGUCCUCAAAGCAACAUUGCAGUUCAUGGCAGAAUAGGUGAUCCCCGUUUGGAGAAUUUUUUCAACACCAAAUAUCGCAGCCCUCGCAUUCAUGUAUUGUAGUUAUGCCUCCGUUGGCUUGACGAAGUGCACUGAAUUUUGCUCCAGGUUGUCACUAUUAAAUUUACGAGUAAGUACAAACUGAAAUCCCACUUAAAGUAAAUGUUCGAUUUUGGCAAUUGUAGAUUUAGUAGUUAUUACGAUGGCCUCGUACAUUUCAUCAGAAAGAAAAUGAUUUUUUUCUUCAGCGUUCAUCUUCCAUUUUUCUAACCAUUUGAUGAAAUCUCGCAGCCACUGCAGUCGAAGAUCAUAUUUUGAGGUGAAUGGUGCUUUAUUUGGUAGGCGCUUGUGAAUUGCUUGCGUAACAUUGCAUAUAACAUGUAUUUCAAACCAUUUUAUGAUUUUUAUGAGGAAUGAAAUAGUUUCUUCACUGCCCAAGAAUCCGGACACCUUUAACCGGCGAUACGAUUCUAAAGUUUUUAGCCAUCGGACGGCUAAAAAUAUCCAGCGCCCGUUGCUCGUUUUUGUCUCUCGAUUUUGGUAGGCUCCAGGUGUCUUUGGUUUGUUUGCUAGUUUACCGACUUCUUUUGGCUGUACCACUCGUCUGGCUUGAUCGCCACCUCAUCCACAACAAUAUCCUUUAAAGCCAAAUCAGUGAGCCUGACGUCCACCGUUGAGGAUCCAGUGUAUCGUCGCAGCGUCUUGUGAGAAAAGGGCGAAGUACCUGCUGCUGUAACCGCAAAAGAUUGUACUUCAGCUCAGUUUUCACAUGGGAUUCAUCAUUAUCAGCGGAUAAGUCGCUUGCUGCAUCAACGGAUAAGUCGCUCGCUUCAUCAGCGGAAAAGUCGGUUGCUUCCAUCGUACUUGGAUCAUGUUCAGAAUCGGAAUCGUCCGACUACGAUUCUGAUUCAGCAUCGCAAUCCCAUGAGGAGCUACUACCCUCCAAAAAGGAUUCGGUAUCGUCGUCGUCAUUGACAGCAGACUUAUUUAUUAGACUUGAUUUAUAGAUAUAUUAUUUUUUUGAUUUAUUAGACUAUAGCUAAUUUUUAUAAUCAACUUAUUAAAUUUAAAAAAAAAAUUGUUGGCCGACGUAAGAAUCGUCAAAGUGUCCCGUCCUCUAGCUUAAGUAGUCCAUGACCAAAGUUGCAAGUCUUCCUGUCAGUGAAUAUCUAUGGUGUCUUUCUCUGUGUGUAUCUGAACUUCAAGCUGACAGGUUACAUAUAAUUUAAGUAAUAAAGACUACUGUUGAAAGAAAACACUCCGCGGUUUAUUCCUUUCAACAGCAUUUGUAUUUGUAAUAUUAUUUUAAAUUUAAUAUUGUCUUGAGUGUUAGCCAACCUUUUGGACUUUACCAACAACUGUGGGUUCAUCGGAUUCAUCAAGAUCGCAUUAA
rnacentral:lncRNA from 1 species